rnacentral:rRNA from 1 species
CCAGACUCCUACGGGAGGCAGCAGUGAGGAAUAUUGGUCAAUGGGCGCAAGCCUGAACCAGCCAAGUCGCGUGAGGGAUGACGGUCCUAUGGAUUGUAAACCUCUUUUGUCGGGGAGCAAGGCCCGCCACGUGUGGCGGGAAGGAGAGUACCCGAAGAAAAAGCAUCGGCUAACUCCGUGCCAGCAGCCGCGGUAAUACGGAGGAUGCGAGCGUUAUCCGGAUUUAUUGGGUUUAAAGGGUGCGUAGGCGGAAGGUUAAGUCAGCGGUAAAAUGUCGGUGCUCAACACCGGCCUGCCGUUGAAACUGGGGAUCUAGAGUGUGCGAGAGGUAUGCGGAAUGCGUGGUGUAGCGGUGAAAUGCAUAGAUAUCACGCAGAACCCCGAUUGCGAAGGCAGCAUACCGGUGCACAACUGACGCUCAGGCACGAAAGCGUGGGUAUCGAACAGGAUUAGAUACCCUCGUAC